UGAGUUAGGACCACACCAGAUGCUGACGGGCCAGGCAGGACUCGAAUGCCCUCUCAGUUAUGUGUGGCUUAGCUUGCAGAGAUCAGCAUGGUCCCCAGUGGUGACCUCCUGUUGUCCCAUAGGUUUUCUCUGCAUCGGCCAAACAGCAACUGUUGCCAGCUGGUCCAGGACUAGAACACGAGCCCCUCGUGGCCGCUCCUUCCUGCCAUCCAGACUUCCUCAGAGAAGCCUUCCCUGAGCAUCACGGGAUCUGCAUUUCUAGCUCUCCGGCUCUGCAUCCUUUCCUCUCUCCCGGAAUUUGAACUCGCCUGCCUCCUGAUAACCGGGGACGUGUGUCCCAAGGACUUCCCAGGACAGUCUGCACCUGCGCACUCCGACUUCCUUCCUCUCCUCCCCUCGCUCUUCUUCCCUUCGAUGUUUAUUAGGCACCUAUUUAUGUGCUAGGCCCUGGGAGAAUAAAGAUACAUAA